GGCUCCAUAGCGUAGUGGUUAGCACAUCUGCUUUACACACAGAAGGCCCUAGUUUCGUGCCCCAAGUGGAGCCA
rnacentral:tRNA from 1 species